rnacentral:rRNA from 1 species
AGGGUUCGAUCAUGGCUCAGAACGAACGUUGGCGGCACGCUUAACACAUGCAAGUCGAACGAGAAACCCGAGCUUGCUCGGGUGGACAGUGGCAGACGGCUUAGUAACGCGUGGGUAUCUACCUAGAGGUUUGGAACAACUAUUGGAAACGAUAGCUAAUACCAAAUAUUCCCUUCGGGGGAAAGAUUUAUCGCCUUUAGAUGAGCCCGCGUCGGAUUAGCUUGUUGGUAGGGUAAGGGCCUACCAAGGCUACGAUCCGUAGCUGGUCUGAGAGGAUGAUCAGCAAGAUUGGGACUGAGACACGGCCCAGACUCCUACGGGAGGCAGCAGUGGGGAAUAUUGCGCAAUGGGGGAAACCCUGACGCAGCGAUGCCGCGUGAGUGAAGAAGGCCCUAGGGUUGUAAAACUCUUUCACCGGUGAAGAUAAUGACGGUAGCCGGAGAAGAAGCCCCGGCUAACUCCGUGCCAGCCGCCGCGGUAAUUC